rnacentral:piRNA from 1 species
UGCCCAGCACAUGGAGCCUGCACGCGCA